UACGUAGGGUGCGAGCGUUAAUCGGAAUUACUGGGCGUAAAGCGUGCGCAGGCGGUUUUGUAAGCCAGAUGUGAAAGCCCCGGGCUCAACCUGGGAAUGGCAUUUGGGACUGCAAGGCUGGAGUUUGGCAGAGGAGACUGGAAUCCUGGUGUAGCAGUGAAAUGCGUAGAGAUCAGCAGGAACACCCGUGGCGAAGGCGGCCCCUGGGCCGUACCGUGAC
rnacentral:rRNA from 1 species